UGGGGAAUAUUGCACAAUGGGGGGAAACCCGUCGAUGCAGCGACGCCGCGUGAGCGAAGAAGUAUUUCGGUAUGUAAAGCUCUAUCAGCAGGGAAGAAAAUGACGGUACCUGACUAAGAAGCACCGGCUAAAUACGUGCCAGCAGCCGCGGUAAUACGUAUGGUGCAAGCGUUAUCCGGAUUUACUGGGUGUAAAGGGAGCGUAGACGGCUGUGUAAGUCUGAAGUGAAAGCCCGGGGCUCAACCCCGGGACUGCUUUGGAACUAUGCAGCUAGAGUGUCGGAGAGGUAAGUGGAAUUCCCAGUGUAGCGGUGAAAUGCGUAG
rnacentral:rRNA from 1 species